GAUGAAGAACGCAGCGAAAUGCGAUAAGUAAUGCGAAUUGCAGAAUUCAGUGAAUCAUCGAAUCUUUGAACGCACAUUGCGCCCGCCAGUAUUCUGGCGGGCAUGCCUGUCUGAGCGUCAUUUCAACCCUCAAGCCCCGCUUGGUGUUGGGCCCCGCCCGCCGUGGCCGGCCCUAAAGACAGUGGCGGCGCCGCCUGGCCCUCAGCGUAGUACAGCUCUCGCUCCAGGGUCCGGCGGCCGCCUGCCAGAACCCCCCCAACUCUGUGGUUGACCUCGGAUCAGGUAGGGAUACCCGCUGAACUUAAGCAUAUCAAUAAGCGGAGGA
rnacentral:misc_RNA from 1 species